CUGUGAGGGUGCUGCCAGCUGUUCCAGCUGUGGCCAGUGUCCCAGCUCAAGAUCCACAGAUUCUGAUGGCGCAGCAGCAGCAAGCUUUCAUCAACCAGCAGGCUGUCAUUAUGGCUCAGCAGAUGACGAUGCAGGCCAUGGCCAUGGUGACGACGAGCCCCAUCUCCAGCCCCCCCACCAGUCCUCCUCCUCCCCCAUACA